rnacentral:rRNA from 1 species
AGAGUUUGAUCAUGGCUCAGAUUGAACGCUGGCGGCAGGCUUAAUACAUGCAAGUCGAACGGUAACGGCAGGAAGCUUGCUUCCUGGCUGACGAGUGGCGGACGGGUGAGUAAUACCUGGGGAGCUGCCUGAAUGAGGGGGACAACACCUGGAAACGGGUGCUAAUACCGCGUAAGCCCUGAGGGGGAAAGGCCGGGCAACCGGUCGCAUUCAGAUGCGCCCAGGUGGGAUUAGCUAGUUGGUGGGGUAACGGCCUACCAAGGCGACGAUCUCUAGCUGGUCUGAGAGGAUGACCAGCCCCACUGGGACUGAGAUACUGCCCAGACUCCUACGGGAGGCUGCAGUCGAGGAUCAUUUGCAAUGGGCGAAAGCCUGACAAUGCGACGCUGCGUGGAGGAUGAAGGCCUUCGGGUUGUAAACUCCUGUCAUGGGGGAACAGGCGAGGGGAGUCAAUACCUCCCUUAGUUGAGUGUACCCCAAGAGGAAUUGGCGGCUAACUCUGUGCCAGCAGCCGCGGUAAUACAGAGGCCAAGAGCGUUGUUCGGAUUUACUGGGCGUAAAGGGCGCGUAGGCGGCAUGGCGUGUCGGAUGUGAAAUCUCCGGGCUCAACCCGGAAAGUGCGUCCGAAACUACCGUGCUGGAGUAUGGGAGGGGGAAUCGGAAUGCAGGGUGUAGCGGUGAAAUGCGUUGAUAUCCUGCAGAACACCGGAGGCGAAGGCGGAUUCCUUGAACAUCACUGACGCUGAGGCGCGAAAGUCGGGGGAGCAAACAGGAUUAGAUACCCUGGUAGUCCCGACCCUAAACGGUGCACGCUAGGGGUGGGCCCAUUUCACCGGGCCCGUCUCUGAGCUAACGCGUUAAGCGUGCCGCCUGGGGAGUACGGCCGCAAGGCUAAAACUCAAAGAAAUUGACGGGGGCCCGCACAAGCAGAGGAGCAUGUGGCUUAAUUCGAUGCAACGCGAAGAACCUUACCUGGGCUUGACAUGCAGGUGCACGGGCUAUGAAAGUAGCCCUCCUUCGAGGGUCCUGCACAGGUGCUGCAUGGCUGUCGUCAGUUCGUGCCGUGAGGUGUUUGGUUAAGUCCACCAACGAACGCAACCCCUUUGACGUGUUGCCAGCGGGUAAUGCCGGGAACUCGCGUCAGACUGCCUGUUCACACAGGAGGAAGGUGGGGAUGACGUCAAGUCAGUAUGGCCCUUACGCCCAGGGCUGCACACGUGCUACAAUGGCCGGUACAGAGGGAAGCGAGACCGCAAGGUGGAGCCAACCCCACAGAGCCGGCCCCAGUUCAGAUCGGGGUCUGCAACCCGACCCCGUGAAGUCGGAUUUGCUAGUAACGGCGUAUCAGCUACGACGCCGUGAAUGCGUUCCCGGGCCUUGUACACACCGCCCGUCACAUCAUGAAAGCCGUCUGCACCCGAAGUCCGGCAUCUGUCGGCCUAAGGUGUGGGUGGUGAUUGGGAUGAAGUCGUAACAAGGUAACC